UUAAGCGACUAAGCGUACACGGUGGAUGCCCUGGCAGUCAGAGGCGAUGAAGGACGUGCUAAUCUGCGAUAAGCGUCGGUGAGGUGAUAUGAACCGUUAUAACCGGCGAUUUCCGAAUGGGGAAACCCAGUGUGUUUCGACACACUAUCAUUAACUGAAUCCAUAGGUUAAUGAGGCGAACCGGGGGAACUGAAACAUCUAAGUACCCCGAGGAAAAGAAAUCAACCGAGAUUCCCCCAGUAGCGGCGAGCGAACGGGGAGGAGCCCAGAGCCUGAAUCAGUGUGUGUGUUAGUGGAAGCGUCUGGAAAGGCGCGCGAUACAGGGUGACAGCCCCGUACACAAAAAUGCACAUAUUGUGAGCUCGAUGAGUAGGGCGGGACACGUGGUAUCCUGUCUGAAUAUGGGGGGACCAUCCUCCAAGGCUAAAUACUCCUGACUGACCGAUAGUGAACCAGUACCGUGAGGGAAAGGCGAAAAGAACCCCGGCGAGGGGAGUGAAAAAGAACCUGAAACCGUGUACGUACAAGCAGUGGGAGCCUCUUUAUGGGGUGACUGCGUACCUUUUGUAUAAUGGGUCAGCGACUUAUAUUCUGUAGCAAGGUUAACCGAAUAGGGGAGCCGAAGGGAAACCGAGUCUUAACUGGGCGUUAAGUUGCAGGGUAUAGACCCGAAACCCGGUGAUCUAGCCAUGGGCAGGUUGAAGGUUGGGUAACACUAACUGGAGGACCGAACCGACUAAUGUUGAAAAAUUAGCGGAUGACUUGUGGCUGGGGGUGAAAGGCCAAUCAAACCGGGAGAUAGCUGGUUCUCCCCGAAAGCUAUUUAGGUAGCGCCUCGUGAAUUCAUCUCCGGGGGUAGAGCACUGUUUCGGCAAGGGGGUCAUCCCGACUUACCAACCCGAUGCAAACUGCGAAUACCGGAGAAUGUUAUCACGGGAGACACACGGCGGGUGCUAACGUCCGUCGUGAAGAGGGAAACAACCCAGACCGCCAGCUAAGGUCCCAAAGUCAUGGUUAAGUGGGAAACGAUGUGGGAAGGCCCAGACAGCCAGGAUGUUGGCUUAGAAGCAGCCAUCAUUUAAAGAAAGCGUAAUAGCUCACUGGUCGAGUCGGCCUGCGCGGAAGAUGUAACGGGGCUAAACCAUGCACCGAAGCUGCGGCAGCGACACUAUGUGUUGUUGGGUAGGGGAGCGUUCUGUAAGCCUGUGAAGGUGGCCUGUGAGGGGUGCUGGAGGUAUCAGAAGUGCGAAUGCUGACAUAAGUAACGAUAAAGCGGGUGAAAAGCCCGCUCGCCGGAAGACCAAGGGUUCCUGUCCAACGUUAAUCGGGGCAGGGUGAGUCGACCCCUAAGGCGAGGCCGAAAGGCGUAGUCGAUGGGAAACAGGUUAAUAUUCCUGUACUUGGUGUUACUGCGAAGGGGGGACGGAGAAGGCUAUGUUGGCCGGGCGACGGUUGUCCCGGUUUAAGCGUGUAGGCUGGUUUUCCAGGCAAAUCCGGAAAACCAAGGCUGAGGCGUGAUGACGAGGCACUACGGUGCUGAAGCGACAAAUGCCCUGCUUCCAGGAAAAGCCUCUAAGCAUCAGGUAACAUCAAAUCGUACCCCAAACCGACACAGGUGGUCAGGUAGAGAAUACCAAGGCGCUUGAGAGAACUCGGGUGAAGGAACUAGGCAAAAUGGUGCCGUAACUUCGGGAGAAGGCACGCUGAUAUGUAGGUGAAGCGACUUGCUCGUGGAGCUGAAAUCAGUCGAAGAUACCAGCUGGCUGCAACUGUUUAUUAAAAACACAGCACUGUGCAAACACGAAAGUGGACGUAUACGGUGUGACGCCUGCCCGGUGCCGGAAGGUUAAUUGAUGGGGUUAGCGGUAACGCGAAGCUCUUGAUCGAAGCCCCGGUAAACGGCGGCCGUAACUAUAACGGUCCUAAGGUAGCGAAAUUCCUUGUCGGGUAAGUUCCGACCUGCACGAAUGGCGUAAUGAUGGCCAGGCUGUCUCCACCCGAGACUCAGUGAAAUUGAACUCGCUGUGAAGAUGCAGUGUACCCGCGGCAAGACGGAAAGACCCCGUGAACCUUUACUAUAGCUUGACACUGAACAUUGAGCCUUGAUGUGUAGGAUAGGUGGGAGGCUUUGAAGUGUGGACGCCAGUCUGCAUGGAGCCGACCUUGAAAUACCACCCUUUAAUGUUUGAUGUUCUAACGUUGGCCCGUAAUCCGGGUUGCGGACAGUGUCUGGUGGGUAGUUUGACUGGGGCGGUCUCCUCCUAAAGAGUAACGGAGGAGCACGAAGGUUGGCUAAUCCUGGUCGGACAUCAGGAGGUUAGUGCAAUGGCAUAAGCCAGCUUGACUGCGAGCGUGACGGCGCGAGCAGGUGCGAAAGCAGGUCAUAGUGAUCCGGUGGUUCUGAAUGGAAGGGCCAUCGCUCAACGGAUAAAAGGUACUCCGGGGAUAACAGGCUGAUACCGCCCAAGAGUUCAUAUCGACGGCGGUGUUUGGCACCUCGAUGUCGGCUCAUCACAUCCUGGGGCUGAAGUAGGUCCCAAGGGUAUGGCUGUUCGCCAUUUAAAGUGGUACGCGAGCUGGGUUUAGAACGUCGUGAGACAGUUCGGUCCCUAUCUGCCGUGGGCGCUGGAGAACUGAGGGGGGCUGCUCCUAGUACGAGAGGACCGGAGUGGACGCAUCACUGGUGUUCGGGUUGUCAUGCCAAUGGCACUGCCCGGUAGCUAAAUGCGGAAGAGAUAAGUGCUGAAAGCAUCUAAGCACGAAACUUGCCCCGAGAUGAGUUCUCCCUGACUCCUUGAGAGUCCUGAAGGAACGUUGAAGACGACGACGUUGAUAGGCCGGGUGUGUAAGCGCAGCGAUGCGUUGAGCUAACCGGUACUAAUGAACCGUGAGGCUUAACCUU
rnacentral:rRNA from 2 species